rnacentral:rRNA from 1 species
GUAGGUGGCAAGCGUUGUCCGGAAUUAUUGGGCGUAAAGCGCGCGCAGGCGGUCCUUUAAGUCUGAUGUGAAAGCCCACGGCUCAACCGUGGAGGGUCAUUGGAAACUGGGGGACUUGAGUACAGAAGAGGAAAGCGGAAUUCCAAGUGUAGCGGUGAAAUGCGUAGAGAUUUGGAGGAACACCAGUGGCGAAGGCGGCUUUCUGGUCUGUAACUGACGCUGAGGCGCGAAAGCGUGGGGAGCAAACAGGGAUUAGAUACCCUGGUAGUCCACGCCGUAAACGAUGAGUGCUAAGUGUUAGGGGGUUUCCCGCCCCUUAGUGCUGCAGCUGACGCAUUAAGCACUCCGCCUGGGGAGUACGGCCGCAAGGCUG